rnacentral:rRNA from 1 species
UGGAGAGUUUGAUCCUGGCUCAGGACGAACGCUGGCGGCGUGCUUAACACAUGCAAGUCGAACGGAAAGGCCCCUUCGGGGGUACUCGAGUGGCGAACGGGUGAGUAACACGUGGGUAAUCUGCCCUGCACUUCGGGAUAAGCCUGGGAAACUGGGUCUAAUACCGGAUAGGACCAUAUAGCGCAUGCUUUAUGGUGGAAAGCUUUUGCGGUGUGGGAUGGGCCCGCGGCCUAUCAGCUUGUUGGUGGGGUGACGGCCUACCAAGGCGACGACGGGUAGCCGGCCUGAGAGGGUGUCCGGCCACACUGGGACUGAGAUACGGCCCAGACUCCUACGGGAGGCAGCAGUGGGGAAUAUUGCACAAUGGGCGCAAGCCUGAUGCAGCGACGCCGCGUGGGGGAUGACGGCCUUCGGGUUGUAAACCUCUUUCAGCAGGGACGAAGCGCAAGUGACGGUACCUGCAGAAGAAGCACCGGCCAACUACGUGCCAGCAGCCGCGGUA